GGACCAACUCCUACGGGAGGCAGCAGUGGGGAAUAUUGGACAAUGGGCGAAAGCCUGAUCCAGCCAUGCCGCAUGAGUGAAGAAGGCCUUUGGGUUGUAAAGCUCUUUCAGUGAGGAAGAUAAUGACGGUACUCACAGAAGAAGUCCUGGCUAACUCCGUGCCAGCAGCCGCGGUAAUACGGAGAGGGCUAGCGUUAUUC
rnacentral:rRNA from 1 species